rnacentral:rRNA from 1 species
UACGGAGGGGGCUAGCGUUGUUCGGAAUUACUGGGCGUAAAGCGCACGUAGGCGGCUUUGUAAGUUAGAGGUGAAAGCCUGGGGCUCAACCCCGGAAUUGCCUUUAAGACUGCAUCGCUUGAAUCCAGGAGAGGUGAGUGGAAUUCCGAGUGUAGAGGUGAAAUUCGUAGAUAUUCGGAAGAACACCAGUGGCGAAGGCGGCUCACUGGCCUGGUAUUGACGCUGAGGUGCGAAAGCGUGGGGAGCAAACAGG